GCCUGGCUAGCGCAAUGGCUAGAGCGUAAGACUUGUGAGUAAAGACGCAGCCAAAAAUUUCUUGCAAGAACUUGAUACUAACUAUCCUACUAGCUAAUCUUAAGGUUGUGGGUUCGAGUCCCACGUCGGGCU